rnacentral:rRNA from 1 species
CAGUGGGGAAUUUUCCGCAAUGGGCGAAAGCCUGACGGAGCAAUGCCGCGUGGAGGUGGAAGGCCUACGGGUCGUCAACUUCUUUUCUCGGAGAAGAAACAAUGACGGUAUCUGAGGAAUAAGCAUCGGCUAACUCUGUGCCAGCAGCCGCGGUAAGACAGAGGAUACAAGCGUUAUCCGGAAUGAUUGGGCGUAAAGCGUCUGUAGGUGGCUUCUCAAGUCCGCCGUCAAAUCCCAGGGCUCAACCCCGGACCGGCGGUGGAAACUACCAAGCUGGAGUACGGAAGAGGCGGAGGGAAUUUCCGGUGGAGCGGUGAAAUGCAUUGAGAUCGGAAAGAACACCAACGGCGAAAGCGCUCUGCUGGGCCGUCACUGACGCUGAGGGACGAAAGCGAGGGGAGCAAACGGGAUUAGA